UACGAAGGGGGCUAGCGUUGCUCGGAAUCACUGGGCGUAAAGGGUGCGUAGGCGGGUUUUUAAGUCAGAGGUAAAAUCCUGGAGCUCAACUCCAGAACUGCCUUUGAUACUGAAGAUCUUGAGUUCGGGAGAGGUGAGUGGAACUGCGAGUGUAGAGGUGAAAUUCGUAGAUAUUCGCAAGAACACCAGUGGCGAAGGCGGCUCACUGGCCCGAUACUGACGCUGAGGCACGAAAGCGUGGGGAGCAAACGGG
rnacentral:rRNA from 1 species